GCUGUUCUGGGAUACUCUCGGCUGAUCUGUCUGCUGCUCAUGCCAAGCCGCUCCUCAAUUGCUGUUGCUGAUAUUUUGGGUGCUCUCAGCCGCUCAUGGUCUCUUUCAGACCCUCGCUGAGAGGCGUUGAGAUGCACUCUCUUCUCCACAGCUAUUAAGCUUUUUAAAGAUCUCAAAUCCAUCUCUUGAUCGAAUCCAGAGUCCUGAUCGAAUUCAGAAAAUUCAGCUGCCAUCUGAUCAUGCCCGC
rnacentral:lncRNA from 1 species